rnacentral:rRNA from 1 species
AUUGAACGCUGGCGGCAGGCCUAACACAUGCAAGUCGAACGAGUGGCGGACGGGUUAGUAAUGUCUGGGAAACUGCCUGAUGGAGGGGGAUAACUCCUGGAAACGGUCGCUAAUACCGCAUACCAUCAGAUGUGCCCAGAUGGGAGUAGCUUGUUGGUGGGGUAACGGCUCACCAAGGCGACGAUCCCUAGCUGGUCUGAGAGGAUGACCAGCCAACCUGGAACUGAGACACGGCGCAGACUCCUACGGGAGGCAGCAGUGGGGAAUAUUGCACAAGGGGCGAAAGCGUGAUGCAGCCAUGCGGCGUGUAUGAAGAAGGCGUUCGGGUUGUAAAGUACUUUCAGCGGGGAGGCGUUACCCGCAGAAGAAGCACCGGCUAACUCCGUGCCAGCAGCCGCGGUAAUAC